rnacentral:rRNA from 1 species
CACCUAACAACUAGCCCUCACCAUCACCAACAACAAACCACUAUUAAUACCUCUUAAUACACUUAAGUAAGUAAAACAAAUCAUUUUUCCACCCCAGUAUAGGAGAUAGAAAAGGAACUAGGAGCUAUAGAUAAAGUACCGCAAGGGAAAGUUGAAAGAGAAAUGAAAUAACCCAGUAAAGUAAAAAGAAGCAGAGAUUUUACCUCGUACCUUUUGCAUCAUGAUUUAGCUAGUACAAUUAGGCAAAGAGCACUUUAGUCUAACAUCCCGAAACUAAAUGAGCUACUCCAAGACAGCCUUUAUAGGGCACAUCCGUCUCUGUGGCAAAAGAGUGGAAAGAGCUUUGAGUAGAGGUGAUAAACCUACCGAGUUUAGUUAUAGCUGGUUGCCCGAGAACUGAGUAUAAGCUCAGCCUUUUGGCUUCUUAACUCCAUAAUUACUUAUAUUAAACCGACUUUAAGAAACCAAAAGAGUUAAUCAAAGGGGGUACAGCCCAUUUGAUACAAGAAACAACUUUCACAGGAGGAUAAGGAUCAUACAAAAUUAAGGUACCGCGCUCAAGUAGGCUUAGAAGCAGCCACCACAAGAAAGCGUUAAAGCUCUAGCACAUUCCUACCACAAAUACCAAUAAAAUACUCCUAACCCCUCACCCUACCGGGCUUUUCUAUGCCAUCCAUAGAAGAAAUUAUGCUAGAAUGAGUAAUAAGGGGCCGACCCCCUCCUAGCACAAGUGUACAUCGGAACGAACUCCCACCGAAAUUCAACGGACCCAACCAAAGAGGGAAAUAAAUAUUAAAUUCACAACAAGAAAAACAUUUAACACUUCUCCGUUACCCCUACACUGGUGUGCUGAAUAGGAAAGACUAAAAGAAAAAGAAGGAACUCGGCAAACCGAAGCCUCGCCUGUUUACCAAAAACAUCGCCUCUUGCUUCAUUGAAUAAGAGGUCCCGCCUGCCCUGUGACUAUAUGUUUAACGGCCGCGGUAUUUUGACCGUGCAAAGGUAGCGCAAUCACUUGUCCUUUAAAUGUGGACCUGUAUGAAUGGCAUAACGAGGGCUUAGCUGUCUCCUUUCUCAAGUCAAUGAAUUUGAUCUCCCCGUGCAGAAGCGGGGAUAAAACCAUAAGACGAGAAGACCCUAUGGAGCUUUAGACAAAAAACAGCCUCUGUCAAUAAACCCUAAAUAAAGGAACUAAACCUAGUGAACCUGUUUUAAUGUCUUUGGUUGGGGCGACCGCGGGGUAACAAAAAACCCCCAUGUGGAACAAAAACACCCUUUUUAAAACCAAGAGUCACCACUCUAAGUAACAGAACAUCUGACCAAUAAUGAUCCGGCCUAGGCCGAUUAACGAACCGAGUUACCCUAGGGAUAACAGCGCAAUCCUCUUUUAGAGUCCAUAUCGACAAGAGGGUUUACGACCUCGAUGUUGGAUCAGGACAUCCUAAUGGUGCAGCCGCUAUUAAUGGUUCGUUUGUUCAACGAUUAAAGUCCUACGUGAUCUGAGUUCAGACCGGAGUAAUCCAGGUCAGUUUCUAUCUAUGAAGUACCUUUUUCUAGUACGAAAGGACCGAAAAAGAGGGGCCAAUGUCUAAACAAGCCCCCCUCUCACUUGCUGAGCCCAACUAAAGCAAAUAAGAGAGUACACAAACCAAGUUAAAGAACAUAACAU